UCGAUAUUAUGUACCUGAACAAUAACAGCAAGUCUUAAGGAAUCCUUUUGAAUAGAAUUCUUACAAUUUUUACAAGAAGAUCGCGAACUUUUUGCGUAUUCAACAGAAUAAGGUUCCAACAAUUAUUUACCUGUGAUGAGGACAAUCUAGAGAGAGAGUCGAUUACGUUGGGUACAAGUGCAAUGGGUGUGGGUUGACCGGAACUGCCGCCGCUACUGCUACUCACUCCCGAGACAGCCGACAUGACAGUCCCAGAGCCACCCACCACCUGUCACCACCCAUAUAUUUUUUUACUAAUUCUUAAAUUUUUAUUUACUUGAAUUUGUGAACCUGUAGCUUUUUAUAAAUAUCAAUAAAAACAGAAUGAUUUCGAUGAAAAUUUAUAGAAAAAAAUUAAUAUAUGCUGCUGUUAAUGGAUAAAUAGAAAAUAAAAUAUCUAAAUAUGAAUUAUAAAAUAAAUGUAUAAUUUAGAUUUUUUCUUCUUAUAAGAUUAAUAAAUUAAUCAUUUUUUAAAUGUAA